rnacentral:lncRNA from 1 species
AUUUAUAUCCUAAUUAGAAAAGAGAAAUUUUUUCUCUCUCUCCUCCCAACAUACUAAUAUUUAAAAAUAAUUAAUUUUUAUCAUAAUAAUAUUAAUUAAAAAUUAAUAUUUAAUAAUAAUAAAUAUUAUUAUUAUUGAAUGUUUUUUUUAGAGAGAAAAAUAUCAACAUACUACCAGCUUCGUUUAUUUUUUUUAGAAAUAAAUUUAGUUGAAAAUGUGAAUCAAUUAUAAUUCAAACUUAGAAUCUUAAGUACCAACCACUAAAUUCUUUGCCACUUGCACUAAAAACAGUCCGUUACUAAGUAUAAUAAUACUAUUACUAGUAUUUAAUUUUACUAUACAAACCAAUAUGAUCAAAUUUGGCAUAUAUAGUAAAUUAAAUACUAAUAAUAAUAAUAAUAAUAAAACUAUCAUUCAGUAAUAAUAAUAUUAUUAUUAUUAAAUAUUAAUUUUCAAUUCUUGUUAUUAUUAUAAAAAUUAAUUGUUUUUAAAUAUUAGUAGGUUGAGAGGAAAGAGAAAAAA